UGAAGGUGCCCACCCUGGGCGUUUCCUCCCUGGACUUGGGCCGCUUGUAACCGCAAGCGGCCCUUAUUUUUUCAUUGA
rnacentral:sRNA from 1 species